rnacentral:rRNA from 1 species
AGUGAACGCUGGCGGUAGGCCUAACACAUGCAAGUCGAACGGCAGCACAGUAAGAGCUUGCUCUUACGGGUGGCGAGUGGCGGACGGGUGAGGAAUACAUCGGAAUCUACUUUUUCGUGGGGGAUAACGUAGGGAAACUUACGCUAAUACCGCAUACGACCUACGGGUGAAAGCAGGGGAUCUUCGGACCUUGCGCGAUUGAAUGAGCCGAUGUCGGAUUAGCUAGUUGGCGGGGUAAAGGCCCACCAAGGCAACGAUCCGUAGCUGGUCUGAGAGGAUGAUCAGCCACACUGGAACUGAGACACGGUCCAGACUCCUACGGGAGGCAGCAGUGGGGAAUAUUGGACAAAGGGCGCAAGCCUGAUCCAGCCAUACCGCGUGGGUGAAGAAGGCCUUCGGGUUGUAAAGCCCUUUUGUUGGGAAAGAAAAGCAGCAGGUUAAUACCCCGCUGUUCCGACGGUACCCAAAGAAUAAGCACCGGCUAACUUCGUG